AUGGAUUGGGAAUGCCAUUCCUCUGCAUCCAGGGUAUCCUCCCACUCCUGUUGGACAGUGUCUGCUGCCCAGCAGAAUCACUCAGCUCAGAGGAACAGAGAUGUUGGGAGGAAGGAAAAGUCCCAACACCAGGGCAGAGUGACACUGUUUGCCCCCGAGCUGUGGCAGGGAGGAGCAGCCAGGAAAAACACCAGGAGAGCUUUUUGGAGGAUGUUACAGAGAGAAAACCUGCUGGGAAAAGGAACUCUGAGCCUGUGGGAGAGCACCUUUCCCAUGUUCCUGCUUCCUUCUAAUAUUUUUUUUGUCUAUCAUAUCCAGAAGAAUUACUUGAUAACCUGAAUUUCCCAGUGGUUUAUUUAUCUGUGGAAGAACUGGCCUGGAGAGCAGAAGUUCAUCCAGAAGUGUCUGUUUUGCUUGAUGGGACAUUUGCUCCCUCCCAGAGAUGGAAUAUUCUGUCCCCAUUGGAUUCACUGAAGAAAAUGAAAUGCAGAAUGAGCAGGGCAAGGGAAGCUGUGAGGAUAAAAGAUGAGAUAUUUGUUAAUGAGCACCGUGCACAUGUUCCGAGCCUCCCAAUGGGGCCCUAAAAUUUCUCUGAGUGCUUCAGUCAGUGUUCCCUCCUUCCUAGGGAAUAACAAACCCGAAAUCAGGUGGGAAAGGUUCGCCCUGUCCAGGCAGGGCUGUGCCAGAGAUGGAACAUUUGGGUGAGACUGAGAGUGCAGGGCUGGGAUUUCCUUUGUGCAGCACCUCUGUGGCCCCUGCCCACAAAAUGUAUUUUCAAGUGUAUUAUUUAAAAUGUAGUUUUAAAGUACUUAAUUGCCAUGCAGGUUACUAUCCUGUAUGAUAAAAUUCCUGGGUGUUUCUGUUGCCACCAUGUGAAUUUUUGUGUCUGGACUGACAAUCCUGAGGCAGCUGCAGCUUCUGCCUGGUGUACAAAACUCAAAGAGGUGCUCAUCAAUUUUUAAAAAAACAUGAGCUGGCACUGGUUCAGUGAAACAAUUGAAUUGAAUGAAAAUCGUGACAUUGGGAAGCUUAAUUAAAAUAACUGCUGAUAGAAAGUGCUAAGGGAUAAGACCUGGACGUGAUAGUAAUGAAAACAAUGAGAAGUCUGUAAAGAAACUUCCCACCCUGCUGGGCAGUGGCUUUCCCAUGGUCACUGCAGCUCUGGGAGUGUGUCAGUGGAUUUUGGGCUCUGUUUGCUGUGCUGGAAUGUGUUGGGUUGAUGUGACCAGCAAUGUGAAUUCUGUCCCACCUGUUAACCCAGCUGGGGCAGUGCCCCUGAUCUCCUGGCACACAUUAUCUGCUCAUGGGCAUCUUUAAACCAGCUGGGCAAUCAUCUUUAUCUUCCCACAGCCCAUCCUCCCUCCAGGAGAUAUCUCCUGUUCAUGGCCACUGAGUCCCAGGGCAUGACUGAUAAAAUUACAUCAUCCCAUGGGAGAUGCUCCAGCCAGGGGAGGAGCCAAGCCUUUCCUACCCAGAGAAAAACUGACAUUUUGGACACCAAGGCACCUU
rnacentral:lncRNA from 12 species